rnacentral:rRNA from 1 species
AACGAACGCUGGCGGCAUGCCUAACACAUGCAAGUCGAACGAGACCUUCGGGUCUAGUGGCGCACGGGUGCGUAACGCGUGGGAACCUGCCCUUAGGUUCGGAAUAACUCCCCGAAAGGGGUGCUAAUACCGGAUAAUGUCUUCGGACCAAAGAUUUAUCGCCUUUGGAUGGGCCCGCGUUGGAUUAGCUAGUUGGUAGGGUAAAAGCCUACCAAGGCGACGAUCCAUAGCUGGUCUGAGAGGAUGAUCAGCCACACUGGGACUGAGACACGGCCCAGACUCCUACGGGAGGCAGCAGUGGGGAAUAUUGGACAAUGGGCGAAAGCCUGAUCCAGCAAUGCCGCGUGAGUGAUGAAGGCCUUAGGGUUGUAAAGCUCUUUUACCCGGGAUGAUAAUGACAGUACCGGGAGAAUAAGCUCCGGCGAACUCAGU